rnacentral:lncRNA from 1 species
GGGCUUUCUUGGCCGUGGCCAAGGCUUGUAUCUUCUGUCGUCUCCAAGAUCAUGCCUUGGCAAACCGCCUGGCUCAGCUCAAUAACCAGACGAAGCCGAAGUGGAAAUGGAAGGAAUGGGCUUCCCCAGAUUUCUCGGCCUUUGCCUUAGAUGAGGUCUCAAUGAAGCAAGUCACAGAGAAAACUCACCGAGUCCUGAGAGUCAUAGAGAAAAAAGGAUCCACCUCCUUGAUUCCAUUAUACUGGCAAUGGCUUCAGAAGACCAGGAUCCCCCAGUACACCAGGGAAGCUCUUUGUGCUCCUGUCUGCCGUGAGUAAAAGAAAAGGCCGUGGAGCCCCCUGGGGAGCGAAGAGAGUAGGGCGACGGCCUGAGGAGCUUGGGCGGCUGGGAGGAAGGGGUUGGAGGCGGUGGCUUCGCUUGCCAGCGCUGCUCCUAUUGUCUCCUGCAGGGGGCAGCACCAUCCUGUACAACUGCUCCACCUGCGAGGGCAAGGAGGAGUCUUGUUGGCCCCAAAAGCACUGCUACCCAGGUUCUUUAAUCCUCACCCUCCUAAGGCCCCCUAGGUUCCCUGGUGUGAUCCACAGGAUCAUCCACGGUCUCCUGGGUUCCUUGCAGACAGUCACGAUCUGUGGGACGCUAGGAUUCUGCUCCUAUGUAUCUUCGGAAUUGUCCUGCUUUCGGGUGUUGUGAGCCUCCAAGUGGAGUGAGUUGUGGGGAUCUUCCCAACCCCCUUCCCUGAUUCUCUUCAGGCCUCCCAUCCUCUGUCUCCUUUCAGGUACCUGAACCUGCAAGCAAAAGACUUGUGAAGAGGAGGACAGCUUUUCCAGCCCCAGCUCUAAGAAAUCUGUGCCCACAAUUUCCACAUCCCUUAGGGUGGGAACACUUUUUAGACCCAGCCCCAAAGCCUCAGUCUUUCAGACCCUAAACCUCAGACUUCUGCUAUCAAUAUUCGUGUCAGAUGGCCUCCAGGAACCCAAGCACCCACAGCUGGAAAGUCCCUCCCUUUCUGUGUUCCACCAAUCAAACAGAGCAGCAGAUGAUGCCAGGAAAUUAUCUACAGAAGGAAAGAAUCGCUUACCACCACCACUCCCACAUCCCCUCUGUCCAUUCCCGGAAAGCGGGGGACUGUUGGCCUGUAGAUGUUGCUCUAGGCCCUCCAAUGACUGAUCCGGAAUCCGGGAAUGAGGGUUCUGGAAAACUCUCUCCCUCUGGGGUGAGACCACAUCAGUCAACCCGCUGGCAUACAGUCCCUCCAUUGUAUUAAUAUUGUGCAGCCUGGACCUCCCCCUCCUUCUGGGCCUGUGUAAAUCUGCUGUGUGAUGCUUUCCAUUCCUGUCUGACUCCAUCUGCAACUUGGGCAGGCAGAUGGGAUGGGAAUUCUUAGGAAUUCUUGUUAGAGGUGCCCCCCCCCCAAU